rnacentral:rRNA from 1 species
UACGUAGGGUGCGAGCGUUAAUCGGAAUUACUGGGCGUAAAGCGUGCGCAGGCGGCUUUGCAAGACAGAUGUGAAAUCCCCGGGCUCAACCUGGGAACUGCAUUUGUGACUGCAAGGCUAGAGUACGGCAGAGGGGGAUGGAAUCCCGCGUGUAGCAGUGAAAUGCGUAGAUAUGCGGAGGAACACCAAUGGCGAAGGCAAUCCCCUGGGCCUGUACUGACGCUCAUGCACGAAAGCGUGGGGAGCAAACAGG